AGUGAAUAUAUUUGGAACUUUUAUUACUUGCUGUGUGGUGCCUUUAAGUGCUUCUCAAAUAGAAGAGGAGACAAUUUUGCCUCACAUAGAACAUUAGGUGAUUUCAGAAGAAGUAUUUGGAUGCCACCGUUGGAGCAGGAGGAGAGUGGGAGCUAGGAGUAGAGAGAGGGAGGGAGAGUUUCAUUUCUGGUAACUAGAAAGCAGAUAUCAGCAAUGCUGCUAAGUAUCUAUUGAUGCAUAAAAUAAUCCUCUCCUGAGAGGCAUUUCCAGGCUCAAAACAUACUAAGGUUGAGAAACCUGCCCUGGACUGAUUCUUCAAAGGAAAAAAAAAUGCCUUAAAGAAAUCUGUAUAUUGCUGUCUAAAUCACUUUUGGGGGAGGGGAUAAAAGUUUUUGCGAAAGA